rnacentral:rRNA from 1 species
UACAGAGGUCUCGAAGCGUUGUUCGGAUUCAUUGGGUCGUGAAAGGGUGCGUAGGCGGCGCGGUAAGUCGGGUGUGAAAUCAUCGGAGCUUAACUCCGAAACUGCAUUCGAUACUGCCGUGCUUGAGGACUGGAGGAGGAGACUGGAAUUUACGGUGUAGCGGUGAAAUGCGUAGAUAUCGUAAGGAAGACCAGUGGCGAAGGCGGGUCUCUGGACAGUUCCUGACGCUGAGGCACGAAGGUCAGGGGAGCAAACGGG